UUAAAGCUAGCCUAACCAAUCGUAUAAACACAACCUUAUCAAUUAUACCUACACUACUAUUAUUAAAUUAAAACAUUUUAUACCUUUUAGUAUGGGUGACAGAACAAUAAAUAUUAGCGCAAUAGACUAUGUACCGCAAGGGAAAGCUGAAAAAGAAAUGAAAUAAAUAUUAAAGUAACAAAAAGCAGAGACUCAACCUCGUACCUUUUGCAUCAUGAUUUAGCUAGAUCAACUAGGCAAAGAGAUCUUAAGUCUAUCUUCCCGAAACUAAACGAGCUACUCCGAAGCAGCACAUUAGAGCCAACCCGUCUCUGUGGCAAAAGAGUGGGAAGACUUCCGAGUAGCGGUGACAGACCUAUCGAGUUUAGUGAUAGCUGGUUGCCCAAGAAAAGAACUUAAAUUCUGCAUUAAUUUUUUUACCACCAAUUAAGAACAUCUUCUUAAGGUUAAAAAUAAGAAUUAAUAGUUAUUUAGAAGAGGUACAGCCCUUCUAAAUUAAGAUACAACUUUUAAAGGUGGGUAAUGAUCACAUUUUAUUAAAGGUUUUUCCCCCAGUGGGCCUAAGAGCAGCCAUCUGUAAAGUAAGCGUCACAGCUCCAGCUUUAUUUAAACCUAUAAUUUAGAUAUUAUCUCACAACCCCCUUACCUGUAUUGGGUUAUUUUAUAUAAUUAUAAAAGAACUUAUGCUAAAAUGAGUAAUAAGAGGCCAAACCUCUCCUAACACAAGUGUACGUCAGAAAGAAUUAAAUCACUGAUAAUUAAACGAACCCAGACUGAGGACAUAAUAUUAAUUUACCAUUAACUAGAAAACCUUAUUUAACUAUUCGUUAACCCUACACAGGAGUGUCUCAAGGAAAGA
rnacentral:rRNA from 1 species